rnacentral:rRNA from 1 species
CCUACGGGUGGCAGCAGUGAGGAAUAUUGGUCAAUGGGCGGGAGCCUGAACCAGCCAAGCCGCGUGAGGGAAGAAGGUACAGCGUAUCGUAAACCUCUUUUGUCAGGGAACAAAGGCGGGGACUAGUCCCCGGAUGAGGGUACCUGAAGAAAAAGCAUCGGCUAACUCCGUGCCAGCAGCCGCGGUAAUACGGAGGAUGCGAGCGUUAUCCGGAUUUAUUGGGUUUAAAGGGAGCGUAGGUGGAUUGUUAAGUCAGUUGUGAAAGUUUGCGGCUCAACCGUAAAAUUGCAGUUGAAACUGGCAGUCUUGAGUGUGCGAGAAGUAUGCGGAAUGCGUGGUGUAGCGGUGAAAUGCAUAGAUAUCACGCAGAACUCCGAUUGCGAAGGCAGCAUACCGGCGCCCUACUGACGCUGAGGCACGAAAGCGUGGGUAUCGAACAGGAUUAGAUACCCCUGUAGUC